rnacentral:rRNA from 1 species
AUUGAACGCUGGCGGCAGGCCUAACACAUGCAAGUCGAACGAGUGGCGGACGGGUGAGUAAUGUCUGGGAAACUGCCCGAUGGAGGGGGAUAACUACUGGAAACGGUAGCUAAUACCGCAUCCCAUCGGAUGUGCCCAGAUGGGAUUAGCUUGUAGGUGAGGUACCGGCUCACCUAGGCGACGAUCCCUAGCUGGUCUGAGAGGAUGACCAGCCAAACUGUGACUGAGACACGGUGCGGACUCCUACGGGAGGCAGCGGGGGGGAAGAGGGCAAAAUGGGCGCAAGCCUGAUGCAGCGAUGCAGCGUGUAUGAAGAGGGCCUUCGGGUUGUAAAGUAGUUUCAGCGGGGAGGCGUUACCCGCAGAAGAAGCACCGGCUAACUCCGUGCCAGCAGCCGCGGUAAUAC